ensembl:ncRNA mir-285 mir-285 stem loop
UCGAAUCGAAGAACUGAGAUCGAUUGGUGCAUAGAUAUCAGGAGAACCCACUCAAUUUAACUCUAGCACCAUUCGAAAUCAGUGCUUUUGAUAAGAAAC